UACAGAGGGUGCAAGCGUUAAUCGGAAUUACUGGGCGUAAAGCGUGCGUAGACGGUAGCGUAAGUCGGGUGUGAAAGCCCCGGGCUCAACCUGGGAAUUGCAUUCGAGACUGCUCUGCUAGGGUGCGGAAGAGGGGAGCGGAAUUUCCGGUGUAGCGGUGAAAUGCGUAGAGAUCCGGAAGAACACCGGUGGCGAAGGCGGCCUGCUGGGCAGUGGCUGACGCUGAGGCGCGACAGCGUGGGGAGCAAACAGG
rnacentral:rRNA from 1 species